GGCCAAAUCCGGCUUGUGGAGCUAUUUUUACUGGGCCACACAAUCAUUAAAAUGUUAAAAUAAAAAGGGGGACAGUUUCAUGUUCAAGUCCCAUGAAUAAUCAAAAAUACAAUUGCUACAUCCAUGGGCGCACACAGAAAUGAGCAUCUCAAAAAGAAUAAAAGGCAUCUUCUAUUGUAUCGUUCAUUGGACCUAAUCUUUAAGAAAUGGCCCCAGCUGACAUGAUGCGGCUGAGAUUUGGCAGCUUUGCAUGAAAUAGUUGCCCAGGCCUGCCUUAUGGUGCAGGAUGAAGGCAGAAUGAAGGCAGACUGAAGGCAGGAUGAAGGCAGAAUGAAGGCAGGAUGAAGGCAGGAUGAAGGUAGAAUGAAGGCAGGAUGAAGGCAGACUGAAGGCAGGAUGAAGGUAGAAUGAAGGCAGGAUGAAGGGAGAAUGAAGGCAGGAUUAAGGCAGAAUGAAGGCAGGAUUAAGGCAGAAUGAAGGCAGGAUUAAGGCAGAAUGAAGGCAGAAUGAAGGCAGGAUGAAGGUAGAAUGAAGGCAGGAUGAAGGUAGAAUGAAGGCAGGAUGAAGGGAGAAUGAAGGCAGGAUUAAGGCAGAAUGAAGGUAGAAUGAAGGCAGAAUGAAGGUAAGAUGAAGGCGGAAUGAAGGCAAAAUGAAGGCAGAAUGAAGGGAGAAUGAAGGCAGGAUGAAGGUAGAAUGAAGGCAGGAUGAAGGUAAGAUGAAGGUGGAAUGAAGGCAGGAUGAAGGUAGAAUGAAGGUAGGAUGAAGGUAGAAUGAAGGCAGGAUGAAGGUAGAAUGAAGGCAGGAUUAAGGCAGAAUGAAGGUAGAAUGAAGGCAGAAUGAAGGUAAGAUGAAGGCGGAAUGAAGGCAAAAUGAAGGCAGAAUGAAGGGAGAAUGAAGGCAGGAUGACGGUAAGAUGAAGGCGGAAUGAAGGCAGGAUGAAGGUAGAAUGAAGGCAGAAUGAAGGUAAGAUGAAGGCGGAAUGAAGGCAAAAUGAAGGCAGAAUGAAGGUAGAAUGAAGGCAGGAUGAAGGUAGAAUGAAGGCAGGAUGAAGGUAAGAUGAAGGCGGAAUGAAGGCAGGAUGAAGGUAGAAUGAAGGCAGGAUGAAGGUAGAAUGAAGGCAGGAUUAAGGCAGAAUGAAGGCAGAAUGAAGGCAGGAUGAAGGUAGAAUGAAGGCAGGAUGAAGGUAGAAUGAAGGCAGGAUGAAGGGAGAAUGAAGGCAGGAUUAAGGCAGAAUGAAGGUAGAAUGAAGGCAGAAUGAAGGUAAGAUGAAGGCGGAAUGAAGGCAGGAUGAAGGCAGAAUGAAGGCAGGAUGAAGGUAGAAUGAAGGCAGAAUGAAGGCAGGAUGAAGGUAAGAUGAAGGCGGAAUGAAGGCAGGAUGAAGGUAGAAUGAAGGCAGAAUGAAGGCAGGAUGAAGCCAGAAUGAAGGUAGAAUGAAGGCAGAAUGAAGGUAGAAUGAAGGCAGGAUGAAGGUAGAAUGAAGGCAGAAUGAAGGUAAGAUGAAGGCAGAAUGAAGGCAAAAUGAAGGCAGAAUGAAGGGAGAAUGAAGGCAGGAUGAAGGUAGAAUGAAGGCAGGAUGAAGGUAGAAUGAAGGCAGGAUGAAGGUAGAAUGAAGGCAGGAUGAAGGUAGAAUGAAGGCAGGAUGAAGGUAGAAUGAAGGCAGGAUGAAGGCAGAAUGAAGGCAGUCCAAGAACCUGUUACAGCUUGAAAGAGCGCUGAGGCUGAAGCCUGAACAUUCCAGCAUGACCCAAACACACAGGAACAUCGUCUUCCUCAUGCUAGUUACCCAUAUGGAAUAAUCUGAGCCACUAUUUAUGUUAAGCCAUUUAUUCAUCAUACCAGAGACAUGCCUAUCUACUGUUAUUUCAGUCUUAAUACUUUCCAACCACAACUUAAAUUCUUACAGGGUUUCAAGUGACUUAACUAAAUGAUUUUCCCAAUCUAUGUUUAGCAAAUGUCAAUGUCAAAAAAUUGCAAUAAACAAUCAACAGCUAUAAUGGUUUGGCUAUGUAGUCCAAACUAUGGUUAAUUGACGGAGUUUUAUUUUCAGUUGUGGUUGUUCAGAAAAGGAAUCCUUAACAUGUGACUUAUGUUCCUGUAGCCAUUUUGAUUCCGUGAUCCUUUUGCUGUGAUGGUUCCCCAUUCAGUUCCCAUGAAAAUGGGAGUCCCUAAACCUCUGGAUAUUCUCCAUUUAUCGUCCACGUUCUUGGGAUUCUGUGUAGUGAAACUUUGGUGGGUUAGGGUUAGGGUUAGGGUUAGGGUUAGGGUUAGGGUUAGGGUUAAGGUUGGUGCUGCCUAAUUACUGAAUAUCGAACCAAGGAGGGGGGCACUUUUAUUAUAUGUAUAGUAAUAUGACUGCACACGCAUCCUGCUUGGGGCCCCCGUGGGGUGGAGGCCAACCAGAUAUCCAGACUCGGGCACCAUAACCCAGCUGCGGAAUUAAGAAAAAAUAUAGUUGAAUAUCAGUAGUGGAGUUUUUUCUGAAAGGCGCCACAUCAGGUUGUCAUAGCAGACACACAUCCGGUUCAUUUACAAAAAUUACAAUAGAGGUCAACACCCUGGCAGACUCUGACGUCAUCGUGAUCAAAAUGCAGUGUUUACCCUGAACGAGGUAUUUAAUAGGUAACUUACACAGUUUUUCUUUUUUUUUUACCAGGAACACAGAUGAGUUUUUAAUUGUUUGUGUACACAGUUGACAAUCCCUGAUCGCAACCAUACUUUCAAUACACGUAAACCUUUAAUUUAAUUUGAAUAUGUCACAUUUUUAAAAAUUGGGAAAAUAUAUAUGCAUGUAUAUUCCUACAUACAUACACAUGCAUAUAUAUGUGUGUAUGUGUGUGUGUAUAUAUGUAUUUAUCCAUAUAUGAGAGGGUAGUUGAUGUAACACUUUCAGGCCGGUUUGCCGAUGUCCAUAAUCUGCCACUUCCUGUCUACUCAGCUAUGUAGCACCAAAUGGCUUCUUUGUAUUGGCCAGUGGUGAGUAGCUGACAUCAGUGGUACUUAAAGAAGCCCAGACACGCAAGUGGUGACCAUUACUGUGGAAUUAAAUGGCCAAUAGAUUGUCGCUAGCAGAACUGGAAGAGGGCAUUAGACGUCUACUUUAGGUCAGUGUUUCUCAUCCUGGUCCUUGGGGAACCCUGGACGGUCCACGUUUUCGCUCCCUCCCGUCUCUUUACCAGGGACGAUCCCUGCCAGACUAACGUGGUCCCCAAGACAGCUGGUUAAGAAACGUCACUUGGAGCUUGGAGGCGUGAAGAUGUGUCUGCGUGUCAGAUUAGUGGCUUUGAUUGGAAACAUGUCAACGGGAAUUUGAAACCAUCGGCAAAUUCCGGCCAUUCCAAUGAGUCGACAUUCCUGCUCCCGUGACGUGAUAUGAAUGGGUCUCCUGUUUUAGGACUGGACCUGCGGUGAAGCUCCCUGGAUUCACCGCAAAAUGCAGACCUGUUUAAUCCAGUUUUCGGAUUUGCUCGUUGCUUGAUCACACGUGAUUUUUCUCGGUGGAGUGCUGUCGUCAAGACAGGACAGCAGAAAUUGUUCUAGAAUCUUAAUGAGCCUUAAUGAGCAUCUCAGUCCAGUUUACUAUAGGUAGACCCUCAAUACAUGGUAUAACACAGCACUCACAUGACCACUUUAAUUAUUGCAGGUUUCAUAGUAAGUCAUAUUGAAUGAUGCUUUACUGAAACGCAAGAGCUUGCUAUUCCACCUAAACCUGAAAUGGUCACCAAGUCAUUGAAUAAUCACAGAUCCCCACCAGGCUGCUCUGUACGUGUCGAGAGGAGAUCGGUUCCGGC